GACGUGGUCCUGCUGCCGAUGCCGCGGCUCCGGCUUUCACUAAAUCUGUUGGCAAUGUCUAUGAUCUUAUCUGCCUCAGUGGUCCGUGUUAGAGAUGGGCUCCCGCUAUCUGCCUCUACAGAUUAUGAGCAAAGCAUGGGAGUGCAGCAAUGUAGAAAAUAUUUUAAAACACUCUCGAAGAAGCUUGCUCAGCUUCCUGAUAGAUGUAUGCUGAAAGCUGGCCAGUAUAAUAUAAAUUUUAUUAGCUCUCUGGGAGUGAGCUACAUGAUGCUGUGCACUGAAAAUUACCCCAGUGUUCUGGCUUUCUGCUUCCUGGAUGAGCUUCAGAAAGAGUUCAUCACCACGUACAAUAUGAUGAGGACAAAUACUGCCAUCCGGCCAUACUGUUUCAUAGAGUUUGAUAAUUUUAUUCAAAGGACCAAGCAGAGAUAUAAUAACCCACGGUCUCUGUCGACCAAGAUAAAUCUUGCUGACAUGCAGACAGAAAUCAAGCUGAGACCACCUUAUCAAAUUUCCAUGUCGGAACUUGGUUCAACUAAUGGAUUUGCACACUUAUCUGCUGCAGAAUUUAAGGGUACUGGUAAGAUAUCUACUGCUCCUCAUCAACGACUGGAAGCUGUUACUCUGCCAGGGAUUGUUUCAUUUAUACUGAGCCUGUUAUGUGGGGCUUUGAAUUUAAUUAGAGGAUUUCAUGCCAUAGAAAGUCUUCUGCAGAACGAGGGUGAAGAUUUCAGUUAUGUCAUUGCGUUUUUCCUUGGAACAGCAGCCUGCUUGUAUCAGUGUUAUUUAUUUUUAUACUGCACAGGCUGGCGGAAUGUCAAAUCCUUCCUGACUUUUGGUUUAAUCUGCCUAUGUAACAUGUAUCUGUACGAACUGCGCAAUCUCUGGCAGCUCUUCUUCCACGUGACAGUGGGAGCGUUUGCAGCAUUACAGAUACGGCUAAGACAACCACAAGGGAAGUCCCCUGAUUACAAUGUCUGACCCAAGGCAGUCUCAGUCCACCCAUGGUUCCCUCUCAGGAAUGAAAAGCUUUUCUCCAAAAGAAGUUGUUUUUUAUUUGUUUUUUUUUUAAAGAUCAACACAAGAUGCCUGUGGACGUUUGUGACUUGAGAACUUAGAUUUAUCCUCAUUGAAGACUGAAGACACACACAAUACAGGAUUAGUAGAGGAAAAUGGGUCCUAUCCAUGCAGAGCAUUGUCCCUUGAGGACAAAUAAAAAUUUGGAGGACUUGACAGAUAGCAGGAAAAAGCCUUCUUCAAAAGUAUGAUAAUGGAAAAAGAUAUAUAUACAGGGCCUGUUCUGCAUAUCAAGUGAGCACUCCAAUUCCAAAAUCAGUUUUGCCUUUGUGAGGCAGUAGUAUAGGCUGAAUACAAAGAUGCUAUUGCAUAUUAGCAGACUAUUGGAAUGAGUGCGUUACUAAAUGUGAAACUAUUGGAUUGCACAUUAAAUUUAAUGGGAUGCGUGUAUGUGUUUUCUUAAUUAAAGCCUAACCUGGAAACCAUCUGUUUAUGGGGAUUAGCUCCUUGGUCCCAGUGGCCUUCCAUGUAGUGCUGAGUUAACUAUAAAUCUUGGUAAAUAUUUUUUUCUGUAUAAUUUGUUUUUAAUGAUCUUUUGAAAGUGACCUUUAUGGACAAGUUUUAUUUAAGUAAAUAACCUAAAAUUCUGUCUCUUGGCCCUCUUUGCUCUCCUCCUCUAUUUGAACACUAGAAGUUUGAAAAGAAGUGCGAGGAAGUGACCUUACUCAAGGGGAUCCAGGUGCCCAAGACCAAGAUAAUUUACCGAAAAUGGAAUCAGUCCUAAAUGAACAGCAGUGGGUUUUCUGAAUUUUUCACUUAAAAAUGCAUCUGACUCGGCCUGCAACCUCAUCAACUGUUGUUUGAUUGUUUACUCUUAAUCUGAAAACUGCCAAGUCUGUAUUCAGAGAAUAAUGCAC